rnacentral:rRNA from 1 species
AUGGAAAGUGUUCAAUUAGAACAUGAAAACGUGACUCAAUUGGUCUUAGUUAGUCUUUAGGAUAGAGUGGAAGAAGGGUGGAGACUCUCGAACGAGGAAAAGGAUCCCUUCGAAAGAAUUGACCGAGGAGCCGUAUGA